rnacentral:tRNA from 1 species
GGCAAGAUGGCCGAGUGGUUUAAGGCGUCGCACUUAAGUCGUUAAAAACAACUAUUUGGUUUAGCUUGUUGAACAGGCUAGGCUGGGCUUUGUUUGGCGGUAAUGCGAUCUCGUAAGAGGCGCGGGUUCGAACCCCGUUCUUGCCA